rnacentral:lncRNA from 1 species
CCUAUCAAGUGGAACACCAUCAAUCACAUGGUGGACUCGUUGGGUUCUAAGACAGAUAGGACACCAUGAACAGAUGCUAUGGCUGAGACUGCUGGCCUGGGCAGCACUGUACUUUUUGCUUUUCCUGGAAGGGGAAGAAGAGACCAAUCCACUUUCUGUAUGGUCCUGUCCUUCAUUCGAGUUUAUAAUGUUCUCCCCAGCUGAAGUCUACACAAUCUUUACCCAGACAUCAGAAACAGCUGUCUCAGGCAGAAGGCGCUUGACUCCAGGCGGGCGCUCAGCAGCAAGGGCAGCAAAGUGCUGGGCACACAGAAGGACAAUGUGAUGAAGCGCCAUCACAUGGCUGGUAGCCUGUGGUGAGUCACCGGACUUCUCGACUCCCACCUCACUAGGGUGGAAGGAACAGUAACCACAAGGCUCUGCAACUCGGGCUGCGCCCCCAUGAUUGGAAACAAUCUGUGAAAUGCCUUCAGCUCUCCAAAACAACAGAAAUGAUCAAAGAUGGAGGCAAGAAGACCAGAGAACCCUAAAUGUUUACUGUCUCCAGU